GGUCUGAGAGGAUGAUCCGCCACACUGGGACUGAGACACGGCCCAGACUCCUACGGGAGGCAGCAGUGGGGAAUUUUGGACAAUGGGCGCAAGCCUGAUCCAGCCAUGCCGCGUGUCUGAAGAAGGCCUUCGGGUUGUAAAGGACUUUUGUCCGGGAGCAAAUCCCAGUGGUUAAUACCUACUGGGGCUGAGAGUACCGGAAGAAUAAGCACCGGCUAACUACGUGCCAGCAGCCGCGGUAAUACGUAGGGUGCAAGCGUUAAUCGGAAUUACUGGGCGUAAAGCGUGCGCAGGCGGUUGUGCAAGUCUGAUGUGAAAGCCCCGGGCUUAACCUGGGAACGGCAUUGGAGACUG
rnacentral:rRNA from 48 species